GCGCGUGAGCGCAGAGCCUUUGGCCGUUAGAUCAGGCGGUCCAUCCGAUCCAGCCCAUUAGCUGGGAGCCGGGACUUCCCCGCCUUUAGCUCUCUGCCCCGCCCUUCCUCCAGAGAGACUCCAGGAGGUUCCUUCUGAGCCGGCUCCGGAAUUCCGCCCGGGGCUGCGCUGUCGGGCCAGGGGAAAGCGCAAACACCCAGAUCUUUCCGUGGUCCUCGUCCAUCCCUCCCAUCCUCCCGCCGUCCCACCAUCUUCCCGCCAGGACACCUUCUGGCUCUGGAAACAAUGAUCACGUCAAUAUUCCCGUCUGCGGCCAUCUGGUCCCACUUACUGCUUCCUGGUGUGUGCCGCAUCCCCAGGAAAAUACAAGCUCCCUGCGGGCAAGAGCUGAGCCCCGCCACAGAGCGUCUGCUCCAAGAAGCCAGACCGGGAGAUCUGCGGUCUUCCUCCAAAGCUGGCCUCCCUGGCUGUGUGACCCUGGGAAGACAACAUGGAAAGGGAUAAAGCCCCUUUACUCACAGAGGAGGAGACUGAGGUCAAGGGAGAUGAAGUGAAGAUGCUUGAACCCUAACACUAGAAGGGUCUUCAAACCCUCUGCACCUCAGGAGGAAACUGGUGGGAGUGGGGUGCCGGGAGCCAUCAAAGACCAUGUUGUUUGACAUGGUCCACAUGGAAACCGGGGACUGCAAAGCAGCCCCCAAGAAGGAUGGAAACACCCACUGAAACCCCCCACCCAAGUGACUUUCCUUAUUACCAUCCCUUUAUUAUUGGAAUUUCUAUGAUUAUUAUUCUUACUUAGCCCCAGGAAAAAUAGAUGAGAGCAAAAUGCUUGCAGGGUUAAUACAGAUGUCCCACUCUGUCCCCCCAGGAUAUUACCAGGAGAGCCCACUUACAAAAUUAAACCUAAGGAUUCUUAUAUACCCACUUAGAUAGGACCCUCUUUUCUAGGCUUAAAAAUUUCUGGCAAAUCUGUGCUCUGAAUUCCCUAACCUAUAUCUGGGUCAUGUUGAUUCUACCCUCUGAUCCUGUACUUAGCAACAAUGUUUUGUUGACUAUCUCCCUAGGCUUCCUGUCUGUUGUUAGGUUCUAUGGAAACAUGUAUGUUGAGAAUGAAACUGUGUGACAAAUAAAUGUGUGAUCAUGAGGGUAUAAAAUAAA